rnacentral:rRNA from 1 species
GACGAACGCUGGCGGCAUGCCUAAUACAUGCAAGUCGAACGCUGAAGCACUCUGCUUGCAGAGUGCGGAUGAGUGGCGAACGGGUGAGUAACACAUGGGAAAUCUGCCUAUAAGAGGGGGAUAACAUUCGGAAACGGAUGCUAAUACCGCAUAUAUUCUUGGACCGCCUGGUCCUUGAAAGAAAGACGGCUUUGCUGUCGCUUAUAGAUGAUCCCGCGGCGUAUUAGUUAGUUGGUGGGGUAAAGGCCUACCAAGACAAUGAUACGUAGCCGACCUGAGAGGGUGAUCGGCCACACUGGGACUGAGACACGGCCCAGACUCCUACGGGAGGCAGCAGUAGGGAAUCUUCCACAAUGGGCGAAAGCCUGAUGGAGCAAUGCCGCGUGAAUGAAGAAGGUCUUCGGAUCGUAAAGUUCUGUUAUUAGAGAAGAACAAGUCAAGGAGUAACUGUCUUGACUUUGACGGUACCUAACCAGAAAGUCACGGCUAACUACGUG